UUUAUUGAAUUUAGAUUUUUUUGAAAAAUAAUCUUAUUUUGAUUGGACGAUAAGCAUUUGCCACUGAUGUUGGAGUACAGGAAUUUGAUUUGUUGCUAUAAUUGCCAUAAUUAGUAUUGGCCAAUGGCUACGGGAUGACGAAGAACGGGUGGCUUUAUAGUUUAUAUUGAAAAAGUUACACACAAAAAUUAAGACGAUGGAAGAACGUUGGCCUUGCCUUAAACCUAUUGGAAUAGUGUUCUGAAAUAUAUCUUCAAUUGAAGCAAAAUAUUGCAGUGAUUCAGGAAAGAAUAUGAAAGAAUAUGAAAAUGCACAUGCAAGUCGUUCUACAAAUCUAACAAUGCAAUGUGAAAAGAGGUCAACAGCAUUCCAGUGAUGAUGAUAAAUUCCAAAAGGACUCACAAGAUGAGAAUAGUGCAGGAAAAAUUUUAGAUCAAGAUUAACGCGUGCAUUCUAUGUCAAAUGCAGGGGGAAAUGUGGGGAAGGUUUCGAAAUCCCCAUUCCUAUAAAAUUAAAUCAAAAAUUAGAAUAGAACCACCCCAAUUGGUUAUAGAUGAAUCAAUAUAUUUAAAAAAGGCUUCGAAAGAUCACAGGAUGAUAAUAACGAUGAUGAUGACGGGUACAGGAAGGAAAUAUCCAGACAAUAUUGUCUACUUUUGCAAAUUUUAAUUUUAUACGAUAGUCCAAUUACUUAAGAUGAGAUUUUAUUUAUUUUCCAUUUUUUGGAACUCAUUUGGGAAAUUCUCUUCCAGAAUAUGCAUCGCUUAAUCGCUUUGGCAAUUGCAAUGGGUCCAGAUGUGUAGGAAUUUACAAUUAAUGCAUUUGAAGCCAAGGGAGUUGUAAAUAUUCAGUAUUUGUUUCAAACUUUAAUUUAAAAAUGAUUUGUUUAUUUUUGUUUUUACGUUUUUCAAUUUGAAACUAAUUGUCAAAAUGACUUUUUAGUUCCUGUAACGACAAUGUUGUUCUUGUAAAUUGUUAGUUGUUGCUGAUGCAUACACCUUAUAAAUACACCUUGGUAUCAAUUUUUACAACAGUA